AGGACUCUUUUCUUAAAACUUGUCUUUCAACUCUCAUAGCCCUAUGUACCACAACAUCUAAAUCCUCAUCAUCAUGGAGCUCAACAACAUCUUGGAUGUUUCUAUUGAGAGCACUAAUAAAUCUAGCUAUUUUCGUGUGGUCAGUCUCAUUAGUGUUAGUAUGGUAUAAGAGCACUUCGAGCUCACGCGCAUACUCCUCCACACUUCGUCUACCCUGAGUAAGCUGUUGGAGCUUAAUCAGGAGGUCCCUAUGGUAGUAUGGAGGUACGAAUCGCUGGUACAACAAGCACCGAAAAUGUUCCCAAGAGCUCGCGGGUGAGCCCCUGGUAAUGUU
rnacentral:lncRNA from 1 species